GGACGAGCACUGAAAGUGAAAUAGUAAGUUAAAUUUCUUCUGUUAUUUUGCUGUGAUCACUUUUAAGUUAAAAUCUCAAGUUUUCAACAGUACUAAUAUUUGAAAUUUUUUGAGCAUUUAGUACCAGCAAUAUUCAUAUAUAGAAUACUUGGUUAUGGAAAGAAGUCUCUAUUGUUGAGCAUAAAAUUCUGAGUUCUGGAUGGCUGAAAAAGUGUUGUGCAUGAGUGAAAGAAAGGCU
rnacentral:misc_RNA from 1 species